rnacentral:lncRNA from 1 species
UCUGAGGUCUCUUUUUAAGUGUUUUAAAGGAAAAGGGGCUAGUUUCUAAGGGUAUAAUUUGGAUGAGUAAGAAAAGCCACUGAGCAUUCAGUGCUUGGUGAGCUGUUCUGUGGGAGCUCGGAAGAUAAGAAAGUUGUGGUCAGUGCAGACAACGGAGGCCUGGCUUAUGACAUGUCAGAGGGAAGUUUAAAGAGUCUAUAAGGGACAAUUGCUAUUCUGAAUUAAGCUCCUGUGGUUCUGGUUAGCUGGGGCCGAUGAAUCAACUGUGAUGAACAAGAUGCAAGAACAACUACAGCAAAGCUGGGCUUUGCUGGGAUACUUGAUGUUGGAUGCCUGGAUCGGAAAAAUUCGUGAUGAUGAAGAAGAGACGAGCAUCACUGAGCUGAAAUCUUCCGGGAGGUCUUUCCUGAGAACCUACACGCACGAGUUAUGUUCCAGAAGCAACUAAAGUUGUACCUUGCACUGGCAGCAGAACUUGGUAGUUCAAGAGUCACCCAGUCGUCGUCGUCGUCACCCUCAUCAUCAUCAUCAUCGUGGUCCUCAUCAUCGUGGUCAUUAUUGUCAUUGUGGUCAUCAGUCGUCUAUGUCCCAGUCACUGCCACGCCCAACGCCACCAACACCAUUUCUCUGAGGACUUUUUGCAAGGUUCUUGGCCCCGGGAUUGGUGCCAGACACAGGUUUCAACUUCUGAAGCAA